rnacentral:pre_miRNA from 14 species
AUUUAGCUCAGUAGUAGAGCGCUUACCUAGGAAGUGCUGAAAGAUCCCACGCAGAGAGACCCUUACUCAAGUCUUGGGAAAUCGCGGACCCCAGACACAGAGAGACCA